rnacentral:tRNA from 2 species
GGGCUCGUGGUCUAGCGGUUAGGACGCCACCCUCACACGGUGGAAGUCCCCGGUUCAAAUCCGGGCGGGCCCA